AGGAAUAUUGGUCAAUGGGCGAAAGCCUGAACCAGCCAAGUCGCGUGGAGGAAGACGGCCCUACGGGUUGUAAACUCCUUUUACCUGGGAAUAACGGGCGCUACGCGUAGCGCUGUGCAAGUACCGGGCGAAUAAGCAUCGGCUAAUUCCGUGCCAGCAGCCGCGGUAAUACGGAAGAUGCGAGCGUUAUCCGGAUUUAUUGGGUUUAAAGGGUGCGUAGGCGGAAGAAUAAGUCAGCGGUGAAAUGCUUCAGCUCAACUGGAGAAUUGCCGAUGAAACUGUUUUUCUAGAGUAUAAAAGAGGUAUGCGGAAUGCGUGGUGUAGCGGUGAAAUGCAUAGAUAUCACGCAGAACCCCGAUUGCGAAGGCAGCAUACUGGGCUAUAACUGACGCUGAAGCACGAAAGCGUGGGUAUCGAACAGGAUUAGAUACCCUGGUAGUCCACGCCGUAAACGAUGAAUACUAACUGUUUGCGAUAUAAUGUAAGCGGUACAGCGAAAGCGUUAAGUAUUCCACCUGGGGAGUACGCCGGCAACGGUGAAACUCAAAGGAAUUGACGGGGGCCCGCACAAGCGGAGGAACAUGUGGUUUAAUUCGAUGAUACGCGAGGAACCUUACCCGGGCUCAAACGACAGGGGAAUAAUCCCGAAAAGGAUUAGCCAGCAAUGGCCGCUGUCGAGGUGCUGCAUGGUUGUCGUCAGCUCGUGCCGUGAGGUGUCGGCUUAAGUGCCAUAACGAGCGCAACCCUUACCGGUAGUUACUAACAGAUCAAGCUGAGGACUCUACCGGGACUGCCAGCGCAAGCUGUGAGGAAGGUGGGGAUGACGUCAAAUCAGCACGGCCCUUACGUCCGGGGCGACACACGUGUUACAAUGGCAGGUACAGAGAGUCGCGUCGUAGCAAUACGUAGCCAAUCCCGAAAACCUGUCUCAGUUCGGAUCGGAGUCUGCAACUCGACUCCGUGAAGCUGGAUUCGCUAGUAAUCGCGCAUCAGCCAUGGCGCGGUGAAUACGUUCCCG
rnacentral:rRNA from 1 species